rnacentral:rRNA from 1 species
AUUGAACGCUGGCGGCAUGCCUUACACAUGCAAGUCGAACGGUAACGGGCCUUCGGGUGCCGACGAGUGGCGAACGGGUGAGUAAUGCAUCGGAACGUACCUUUCAGUGGGGGAUAACGUAGCGAAAGUUACGCUAAUACCGCAUAUUCUGUGAGCAGGAAAGCAGGGGAUCGCAAGACCUUGCGCUGAUUGAGCGGCCGAUGUCAGAUUAGCUAGUUGGUGAGGUAAAGGCUCACCAAGGCGACGAUCUGUAGCGGGUCUGAGAGGAUGAUCCGCCACACUGGAACUGAGACACGGUCCAGACUCCUACGGGAGGCAGCAGUGGGGAAUUUUGGACAAUGGGGGCAACCCUGAUCCAGCCAUGCCGCGUGAGUGAAGAAGGCCUCGGUUGUAAGCUCUUUCGUCGACGGAAGAACGACACUCGUACUAACCUAUAGGUGGUGGAGUAGGUACGGUACCGAAGUAAGAAGACACCGGCGUAACUACGUGCCACGCAGCCGC